UGUGACCUCAAAUCAGGUAGGACUACCCGCUGAACUUAAGCAUAUCAAUAAGCGGAGGAAAAGAAACUAACAAGGAUUCCCCUAGUAACUGCGAGUGAAGCGGGAAAAGCUCAAAUUUAAAAUCUGGCAGCCUUUGGUUGUCCGAGUUGUAAUCUAGAGAAGUGUUAUCCGC
rnacentral:rRNA from 1 species